rnacentral:lncRNA from 1 species
GUGCUGGGGAUAUAACGGUGAGCAAGAGAGACCACCGCCCUUGUUCCCGCGGAUCCUGCAGCCCAGUGGAUGGAGUCCACGGUACCUAGACCUGCCAGGAAAGACAGAAAUUUUCCUGAUGGUUGGUCCAAACAGGGACUCCCUGGUGGACUGAGGGAUGGCUGGCUUUUCCUCAGUUCCUGCAUCUCAGGCAGCCCCCAGAAGACCUGGAGAAUGAGAGGCCUGAGGUCUACAGGUUGCUGCUAGAAAUAUUUUAGCCCCUCCAGAAAACAGAAUGCAGCUGCCGCACAAGUUUGUAAGGACUCUGGGCGCCCGCUGACCGCGCGCUGGCCGCCUCGCACUUCGCUCCAGGUGCCCGCCCGGGGCGCUGCCAUAGCAACGGCCUGGACGCCCAGACCUUAGGCCGCCGCCGCCGGGACCCGGCCUUCUCCCGCUCCCGAGGGGUGGGGCGGCGGCGGCCCGGGCCGGGAAGACGGGACUGCCCCCUCCCCCGAUGCCGGCGGAGGCGGCGGAUUUGCUUCCAAGCAUGCCCUUUCAGAAGCACGUCUACUACCCGCUCGCCGCCGGCGGCGGCCUGGAGGCACCCGACGCCUCCGCAGCGGCCGCGGCGGGCGGGGCCGCCAUGGCCUGUGGCCCCCCCAGCGCGGCGUCGGGCCCCCUGCCCUUCUUCCAGUUCCGCCCGCGGCUGGAGAGCGUGGACUGGCGGCGGCUGAGCGCCAUCGACGUGGACAAGGUGGCGGGCGCCGUGGACGUCCUCACGCUGCAGGAGAACAUCAUGAACAUCACCUUCUGCAAGCUGGAGGACGAGAAGUGCCCUCACUGCCAGUCAGGCGUGGACCCGGUGCUGCUGAAGCUCAUCCGCUUGGCGCAGCUCACCAUCGAGUACCUGCUGCACUCGCAGGAGUUCCUCACCUCGCAGCUGCACGGCCUGGAGGAGCGGCUGCGCCGGAGCCUGGCCGAAGGCGAGCACAGCAAGAAGCUCCUCACCAAGCAGGCCGGCGAGAUCAAGCUGCUCAAGGAAGAGUGUAAACGCAGGAAGAAGUUGAUCUCCACCCAGCAGCUGAUGAUCGAGGCCAAAGCCAGCUAUUACCAGUGUCAUUUUUGUGACAAGGCCUUUAUGAACCAAGCUUUCCUACAAAGUCAUAUUCAGCGCCGUCACCCUGAAGAUUCGCAUCUUGAGUAUAAGGCAAGGGCUCAGACGGACAAGCUCCAAAGUGAGAUCGACAUGUUGAAGGAGCAGCUGCAGCUCACCAAGUCUCAGCUAGAGGCUGCACAGCAUGCCCACGCAGUCAGGCUCUCUAAGGAAUAUGAAAUGCAGAAAACAAAAGAGGAAGAAUUUCUGAAGUUAUUCGAUAGAUGGAAAGAAGAAGAAAAGGAGAAACUAGUUGAUGAAAUGGAAAAAGUCAAGGAAAUGUUUAUGAAGGAGUUUAAAGAACUGACUUCUAAGAACUCAGCAUUAGAAUACCAAUUGUCAGAAAUCCAGAAGUCCAAUAUGCAGAUCAAGUCUAACAUAGGCACGCUAAAAGAUGCGCAUGAGUUUAAAGAAGAACGUCCACAGCAUCCCCAGGAUUUCCAAAAUGUGAUGCAGCUACUUGACAAUCAGGAAAGCAAGUGGACAGCUCGUGUUCAGGCUCUUCAUCAAGAACACAAGAAAGAAAAGAGCCGGCUCCUGUCACAUAUAGAGAAACUUCGAACUUCAAUGAUAGACGAUCUAAAUGCAAGUAAUGUCUUCUAUAAGAAAAGGAUAGAAGAGCUAGGGCAGAGGCUCCAGGAACAGAACGAGCUGAUCAUCACUCAGAGACAGCAGAUUAAAGAGUUCACCAGUAAACCGUUAAACAGUGUCAGUGAACCCAAAGUGAAUGCCCCAGCCCCCCAGACACUGGAUGCGAAGUCGAGUCUAACAAUGGCACAUGAACAGGCAUUCUCAUCGCACAUACUGGAACCAAUAGAAGAACUUUCAGAGGAAGAAAAAGGAAGAGAAAAUGAACAGAAAUUAAAUGACAACAAGAUACAUAUAAGGAAAACUUUGAAGAAUAACCCUUCCCUCACUAAGGAAAUAAGAACCGUCUUGGAGCAGAGUUUGGUGGAGAAACUGGAAACCUUGGGAAUUAAUGCAGAUAUACGUGGUAUUCCAAGCGAUCACUUGAAUAGAGUGCUAAGAACUGUAGAAUCAACAAGACAUGAGCGAGAAAGACAAAUACCUAACAUUCAGCAAAUUCGAGAAUUCCUUGAACAUCAGGUCAGCUGUAAAAUUGAAGAGAGAACACUGCUGUCCACAGACAGGUAUGGUGCUUCUCAAAUGGACACCCUUUCAACUGGAGAACUACCCAAAGCAAUACACCUUCCUCCCAAAAGCAGACAGCUGAUUAGACAAAGACCUGUUUUUUCUGAUAGAACAUCCGUUCCAAAAGUUAAGAAAAAUGCCACAGAAGAUCAUUUUCCCAGGAGGUCUUCCACUAUUGUGACUCCUCCCUUCAGUUCCGAGGAGGAGCUGGAUGCUGACGACCUCAUCCAGGCGUUCACUUCCCCAGAUGUACUUCCUGUGCUGUCGUCUAAAAGCAACAAGAGUAGUUUUGGAAAGAGCGCUGUCGUCAAAAGCGACACUGACUGGACCGAGGGAAGUGAAAUUGAGGACUCUGAUAUUUCCCCCAAGCCCACAGGAACCUCCAUUAAAACAUUAACUGGAAAAGUUGAAAAGACGGUUUCAAAUCACAGAAAUAUGAAUAAGCCAGUUGGUGGAAUUAAUGUUGCUGACAUGUUCAUCAAAAAAGAACUAAAAGAAGAUCUAAAGUGUACAGAUGUGGAUGAUGAUGACUGGGACAUAUCAUCCUUAGAGGAAGACAGAUCUAUAGGAAGAAAAGCUGGGAGAGAACAGAAGGAACCUCCUCCACCUGUGAAGAAUGAGUCAAAUUCUACUCAAGUGCCAAAUGCCUGGGGUGCAGCUAACCCGAAAGGACUCAAGGGAGAAGGACCUCAGGAUGAGUCCAGUACACUGAAAAGCAGCUUAGUAACCGUGACUGAAUGGAGCGACUCUUCAGACGUGUAACCGUCACCCUGUGCGUCAGGAGGUCCGUCCAGACUUCAGCAGUAUUUGGUAUCGUGCUAUUUCAGCACUGCCUACGCAACUAUGAUUGUCCUGCCUGACAGUAUCUCCUGCAAUAACAAGGAAACCGGCUCUCAGAGAACAAGAGUCUCUUUAAUGGCACCUAAUACAGUGUUAAAAACACAUACACACAAAUUGUCAACAGUAUUUUGAAGCAUAUAAAGGUGUUUAAGAAUGCUGCUGCUGCUUAAAAAUAAUGUGUCAACCGAAGUCAUAAAAAGUUUUUUCUUCAGAACAGUACUCUA